rnacentral:misc_RNA from 1 species
CCAAUAGCGUAUAUUAAAGUUGUUGCAGUUAAAAAGCUCGUAGUUGAAUUUCGGAAUCAAUUUGUUGGUCGUGCCUCGGUACGUACUGGUAUUAUUGGUUUCUACCUUCUGAAGAACCUUGAUGUCAUUAAUUUGGUGUCUUGGGGAAUCAGGACUGUUACUUUGAAAAAAUUAGAGUGUUUAAAGCAAGCAUACGCUUGAAUACAUUAGCAUGGAAUAAUGAAAUAGGACGUUUGAUUCUAUUUUGUUGGUUUCUAGGAUCGACGUAAUGAUUAAUAGGGAUAGUUGGGGGCAUUAGUAUUCAAUUGUCAGAGGUGAAAUUCUUGGAUUUAUUGAAGACUAACUACUGCGAAAGCAUUUGCCAAGGAUGUUUUCAUUAAUCAAGAACGAAAGUUAGGGGAUCGAAGACGAUCAGAUACCGUCGUAGUCUUAACCAUAAACUAUGCCGACUAGGGAUCGGAUGAUGUUAAUUUUUUAAUGACUCAUUCGGCGCCUUACGGGAAACCAAAGUGUUGGUUC